UGGGGAAUCUUCCGCAAUGGACGAAAGUCUGACGGAGCAACGCCGCGUGAGUGAUGACGGCCUUCGGGUUGUAAAGCUCUGUUAAUCGGGACGAAUGGUUCUUGUGCGAAUAGUGCGAGGAUUUGACGGUACCGGAAUAGAAAGCCACGGCUAACUACGUGCCAGCAGCCGCGGUAAUACGGAGGUGGCAAGCGUUGUCCGGAAUUAUUGGGCGUAAAGCGCGCGCAGGCGGAUUGGUCAGUCUGUCUUAAAAGUUCGGGGCUUAACCCCGUGAUGGGAUGGAAACUGCCAAUCUAGAGUAUCGGAGAGGAAAGUGGAAUUCCUAGUGUAGCGGUGAAAUGCGUAGAUAUUAGGAAGAACACCAGUGGCGAAGGCGACUUUCUGGACGAAAACUGACGCUGAGGCGCGAAAGCCAGGGGAGCGAACGGG
rnacentral:rRNA from 1 species